rnacentral:rRNA from 1 species
UACGUAGGGGGCAAGCGUUGUCCGGAUUUAUUGGGCGUAAAGGGCGCGUAGGCGGCCAUGCGUGUCUUUCGUGAAAUCCCUCGGCUUAACUGAGGACGUGCGGAAGAAACUGCAAGGCUUGAGUCCGGGAGAGGGGGGUGGAAUUCCCAGUGUAGCGGUGAAAUGCGUAGAUAUUGGGAGGAACACCGGUGGCGAAGGCGGCCCCCUGGACCGGUACUGACGCUGAGGCGCGAAAGCGUGGGUAGCAAACGGG